rnacentral:rRNA from 1 species
UACGAAGGGGGCUAGCGUUGCUCGGAAUUACUGGGCGUAAAGCGCACGUAGGCGGAUUGUUAAGUCGGGGGUGAAAUCCUGGAGCUCAACUCCAGAACUGCCUUUGAUACUGGUGAGCUUGAGUCCGGAAGAGGUGAGUAGAACUGCGAGUGUAGAGGUGAAAUUCGUAGAUAUUCGCAAGAACACCAGUGGCGAAGGCGGCUCACUGGCCCGGUACUGACGCUGAGGUGCGAAAGCGUGGGGAGCAAACAGGG